rnacentral:rRNA from 1 species
AUUGAACGCUGGCGGCAUGCCUUACACAUGCAAGUCGAACGGUAACAGGUCUUCGGCUGCUGCCGAGUGGCGAACGGGUGUGUAAUACAUCGGAACGUGCCCAGACGUGGGGGAUAACGCGGCGAAAGCUUUGCUAAUACCGCAUACGAUCUAAGGUUGAAAGCAGGGGACCGCAAGGCCUUGCGCGUUUGGAGCGGCCGAUGGCAGAUUAGGUAGUUGGUGGGAUAAAAGCUUACCAAGCCGACGAUCUGUAGCUGGUCUGAGAGGACGACCAGCCACACUGGGACUGAGACACGGCCCAGACUCCUACGGGAGGCAGCAGUGGGGAAUUUUGGACAAUGGGCGAAAGCCUGAUCCAGCAAUGCCGCGUGCAGGAUGAAGGCCUUCGGGUUGUAAACUGCUUUUGUACGGAACGAAAAGGCUCUGGCUAAUACCUGGGGCACAUGACGGUACCGGAAGAAUAAGCACCGGCUAACUACGUG